rnacentral:lncRNA from 1 species
UUCUAACCUUAUUUUCUCCUUUUUCUCAGUAAAUAUAAUCUUCCAAUAUUUAAUUAACUCCCACUUAAUUUACUAAAUUCUCAUUUAACCCCAAAACUCCAAUUAAAUUCUAAUUCUCACUUAUUCUAUUAAAAGUAACCACUUAAUAAAUUACAUAAUCAUAUAAAUAUAUUAUAAACCUAUUAAAACAAUCAAAUAAAUUAAAUAAUUCAAAGAGGGCGUUACAGAUCCACAUAAUCUCAGAUUGUGGUGGUUUUUGACUUUGAAAAAAUUCCCUAGAUCCGUUGGUAAAAUCUGUAAUAUAAUAUUUAAAAUUGUAAAUUGAAAUCAAAAUUGAAAUAAAUAAGUACAUGAGAAGAAUAAUAUGAUUACCAAUUUGGAACUCAUUGGAUAUUUAGAUGGAAUUGUCAUUUGGAAUGUCAGAUCUCGAGUAAUGGAAGUAGUUAACCUAUGGUAACGUGGAUAUUCCUUUUUUGGUGUCGAACCAUUGAAAAUUUUGAUUAAAAAGGUACUAUUUUCUAAAAAUGUGAAAGACAUUAAUGGAUUUAAUGUGACGUGAUAAGAAUUUCUAAACUGGUGCCAACCGGUGGUAAGAAUUGGUAUUGUCAUUGAUUUGUUAAAUUGAACCGGAUGAAAAUUUCCAUAACGCAUCUUGUGAAAUUUAUUAACUAAAAUAUCAGGUCGCCAUUUCCCAGAAAUAAUUUCAGCAAAGGGCUUGAAUUUGGUUUCAGAGAUAGGAAUUUCAUGAACAUUGAUGUCAACAGCAGUAGUUCCACCAGUCCAUUUCAGCAAAAACUUAUGCUCUGAAGCUUUGAACACUAAGUUAUUGACUGCAACUUGAAAGUUACUUAAAGUGUAAGUGGUGUUUUCUUCUAAGAAUCUGUGAUAAGUAGCUUUGUAUGUGGUAGGAAUAAGUACUUGUAUAUCAUUACCCUAAAAAGCAAACAAACAUACCAUUAAGGGAUAAAUAAAUUGGUUAAGAAAGAAAUCAUUAUAUUUGACUCUCACUCUAACAAACAUACCCGCGCGUCAACAAUGAUCAUCUCUACAUGUUCUUGCCCAUCCUUAACAACAAUCCAUUUCUGUUUGACUCUAAUAGCAAGCUUUCAGAAGUCUUUCUUAUCUGUGACAUCACCAAUAAACUCCACUGGUCUUUCCAUUUUCAGAUCUAAUACAAAAACAAAACAUGGUUAGUAUUGUAGGCAAACCAAGGUAAAAAAAGAGAUGUGAUAGAGAGGUAUUUUAGGAUGGUUUAUAGGUUAAAUAGUAACUUCAAUAUAUGAAACAAAAUGAAAAGAGCACAACAUCUGUUAUAAGUCUAAAGUCUCUCAUAACUAAAAAAAUUAUAUUUUUAUUUUCAGAUCUAAUUAGAAAACAAAAACAGUCAGUAUUCUAAGCUAAAAUAUGACUUAGAAAAGAGACGUGAUAUUAUGAGAUUUUAGGAUGACUUAUAGGUUAAAAACUUACUUUAAUAUAGGAAAGAAAAUGAAAGAAGCACAACAUCUGUUAUAAGUCAAAACGUUGAUGUACCUUAAAAAAUGUGAUUUCCAUUUUCAAAUCUAAUUAAAAAACAAAACAUAGUGAGUAUUGUAGACAAAUAAAGGAAAAAAAAUUGUGUGUGAUAAAGAGAGAUUUAGGCUGAUUUAUAAGUUAAAAACUAACUUCAAUAUAGCAAAAAAAAAAGAAGAAAGAAUCACAGCAUGUCCUCAUAUAAUACAAAAAAUACAAUACAUUGUUCAUUAUGGAAUUCCAUAAAAGUUUGAUUUAGGAAUAUAACAUGCAUCAAAAAUUGUAUAACCUAAAGAAAACUGAAUAGUAAAGUCUGCAAAGAGAAGAGUAGUUUACCAGCAGCAACGAUGAGAGAGGGGACGAAUGGGUGUAGAGAAUGACAAUGUUUGCUAGUAGUAUUAUCUAAUAGAGUAUGUUGAUUGAUUGAUAGCUGUAAAAUGGAUAUUUGAACCAAAAGUGUACUUUAUAAUCUCACACACAAAAAUGGGUUCAGUUUUGUUUAGUUCCAAUGGAAUGGGUAACUUAGAUAAAUGUGUGGAUAAAGUAAACCACCAUUAAUGGGUUCAGUUACAUGAGAUUAGUUUUGUUGAAGUGAUGUCAUCCAAAAAGAGGAAGUAAGCAAAAAGAUCAGAUUUACCCCAAAAUUUUAGACGUUUGC